rfam:Dothistroma septosporum NZE10 unplaced genomic scaffold DOTSEscaffold_4, whole genome shotgun sequence.
GAAUGAUGAGACACACAGCUGGCACCAGUCCUAGAGAGACUUGUACUCUUUUUGCUGCGGAAUAGCUUUGCAAGAGUCAAAGACUCUGUUAUCUGAC